rnacentral:rRNA from 1 species
UGGGGAAUUUUGCGCAAUGGGCGAAAGCCUGACGGAGCGACGCCGCGUGUAGGACGAAGGCCCUUGGGUUGUAAACUACUGUCACGGGUUAUGAAUGCGUUCGGAUGAACAGUCCGGGCGUUGACGUAAGCCCGAGAGGAAGCACCGGCUAACUCUGUGCCAGCAGCCGCGGUAACACAGAGGGUGCUAACGUUGUUCGGAAUUACUGGGCAUAAAGCGCACGUAGGCGGCCAGGUCAGUGUGAAGUGAAAUCCCACGGCUCACCCGUGGAACUGCUUUGCAUACUGCUUGGCUAGAGGAAGGUAGGGGAGAGCAGAACUCCUGGAGGAGCGGUGAAAUGUGUAGAUAUCAGGAGGAAUACCAGUGGCGAAGGCGGCUCUCUGGUCCUUUUCUGACGCUGAGGUGCGAAAGCUAGGGUAGCGAACGGGAUUAGAUACCCCCGUAGUCC